CCUACGGGGGGCAGCAGUGAGGAAUAUUGGUCAAUGGGCGGGAGCCUGAACCAGCCAAGUCGCGUGAGGGAAGACGGUCCUAUGGAUUGUAAACCUCUUUAGGCGGGGAGCAAUGCCGGGCACGCGUGCCCGGAGGGAGAGUACCCGCAGAAUAAGCAUCGGCUAACUCCGUGCCAGCAGCCGCGGUAAUACGGAGGAGGCGAGCGUUAUCCGGAUUGAUUGGGUUUAAAGGGUGCGUAGGCCGAUUUUUAAGUCAGCGGUAAAAUGUCCGGGCUCAACCCGGGCCGGCCGUUGAAACUGGGGAACUUGAGUGUGCGAGAAGUAUGCGGAAUGCGUGGUGUAGCGGUGAAAUGCAUAGAUAUCACGCAGAACUCCGAUUGCGAAGGCAGCAUACCGGCGCCCGACUGACGCUGAGGCACGAAAGCGUGGGGAUCGAACAGGAUGAGAUACCCGAGUAGUC
rnacentral:rRNA from 1 species